GGGUCAGUCGGGUCCCCCGCGGAGGGAGAGACCCAAACUGCUGUCUUGGACAGGGGCUGAGCCGAGGGAAAUACUAGUAGAGGCUACUGUGUUGAGUAACAGCCCCCAACAAGUGAUAUGCGUGUGGUGAGGUCCCAGCUGAGGUCUCGGUUGAUCUAGAAGGGAAUAAAGCUCUUGUGGAGCUGACAGACACAACCAUGCCUAUAUUGCAUUUUCUUAUCUUGAGCCAAAUACAAAGGGUCUUCAAAGUUGAGCAAGAACUGACAAAACACUGAAAGGAUAUGGGCAGAGAUGGCUGGUGACUGUUUCUCACUGUGGCAUUUAUUUAAACAGAGGACAAAUACAAUUUUUGCAGAAGCAAUGCAGAUACUGAUCUCAUAGCUCCAGCUGUAUGACCCAGCAUUGUACUGACCUCGAAGGAAAGAGAUCUGUCUUGCAGAAUUUUGGUCAAAGCAGUUUAUGGUUAUGAAUUGCAUUUCAGCAAAACCAUUAUUCAUUACAACUUCAUGUUAACUAAAUCUCCACAGAUAGUAUGUAAAAAAAUCCACUUUCAAAGCUGCCAUUGAACUCCUGAAAAUUCUACUUUUCCAUGAUUUCAACUGAAGUCUGCUCAUACUGCCAGAAAGGAACAGUUACUGAAUUUCCAUGUUGAGUUUGCUGCUGCCAACAUGUUUGGUUGUGUAAACAAGUUCACUGAAAAGUCAUUCAUGCUAAAAAGAAAAACAGAUUCACAACAAGGGGUCUGCAGGCCAAGAAUGCUGGUUUUGGUCAGAUGGCCUAAAAAAUAGUAGAAAAAGGGAAAUCCUCUCCAGGGGUCACUCUCUGGAGAUAUGCACUGUUCCCCCUUCUGUCCAUAUAGAUAUUCCAAGACAAUCAUCUGACCACCUGAAGUAACAACUCCUUCCUCACAAGAGGUUGCAAUGACACUCCUUAU